rnacentral:rRNA from 1 species
UAGGCAAGCAGGCAGAAAUCACUCUGCUCGAAUACAUUAGCAUGGGAUAAUGGCAAUAGGACCCUGUCCUCCUAUUUUCAGUUGGUUUUGGCAGCGCGAGGACUAGGGUAAUGAUUAAUAGGGAUAGUUGGGGGCAUUAAUAUUUAAUUGUCAGAGGUGAAAUUCUUGGAUUUAUGAAAGAUUAACUUCUGCGAAAGCAUCUGCCAAGGAUGUUUUCAUUAAUCAAGAACGAAAGUUAGGGGAUCGAAGACGAUCAGAUACCGUCGUAGUCUUAACCAUAAACGAUGCCGACCAGCGAUUAGGAGACGUUGAAUACAAAACACCACCAUCGGCGCGGUCGUCCCUGGCUCGUCGUCUCACGACGGCGGGCGGGGGCGGUUUAGCCCGAUGGCACCGGUGAAUGACUCCCCUAGCA